rnacentral:rRNA from 1 species
UACGAAGGGGCUAGCGUUGCUCGGAAUUACUGGGCGUAAAGGGCGCGUAGGCGGCGCAUUUAGUCAGGCGUGAAAUUCCUGGGCUUAACCUGGGGACUGCGCUUGAGACGGGUGUGCUAGAGGACGGAAGAGGCUCGCGGAAUUCCCAGUGUAGAGGUGAAAUUCGUAGAUAUUGGGAAGAACACCGGUGGCGAAGGCGGCGAGCUGGUCCGUAUCUGACGCUGAGGCGCGA